CGAACGGGUGAGUAAUGCGUGACCAACCUGCCCCAUGCUCCAGAAUAGCUCUUGGAAACGGGUGGUAAUGCUGGAUGCUCCAACUUGACGCAUGUCUUGUUGGGAAAGUGUUUAGUGGCAUGGGAUGGGGUCGCGUCCUAUCAGCUUGUAGGCGGGGUAAUGGCCCACCUAGGCUUCGACGGGUAGCCGGCCUGAGAGGGCGGACGGCCACAUUGGGACUGAGAUACGGCCCAGACUCCUACGGGAGGCAGCAGAU
rnacentral:rRNA from 1 species